CACGUAGGGCGCAAGCGUUGUCCGGAAUUAUUGGGCGUAAAGAGCUCGUAGGUGGUUUGUUACGUCUGCUGUGAAAACCUAGGGCUUAACCCUGGGCUUGCAGUGGAUACGGGCAGACUAGAGGUAGGUAGGGGAGAAUGGAAUUCCUGGUGUAGCGGUGAAAUGCGCAGAUAUCAGGAAGAACACCCGUGGCGAAAGCGGCUCUCUGGAACGGUACUGACGCUGAGACGCGAAAGCGUGGGGAGCGAACAGG
rnacentral:rRNA from 1 species